CUGAAACACUUCCUUCUCUCCGAGCUCCACAAUGCCUCUUUGAUAAGGAUAUAUGACACCCUUGGACAGAGGGCUUCAGUAAAAAGACACCCACCCAAACCUUAGACCCUCAACGACAGCAAGGAAAAACUCUUGGGAGGACCUAGUCAGAGAGGGAUCCCCCUCCGGGACGAUCAGCUGGUCUUCUGUCAUCCUCAUCUUCCUCAACUCUUCCCCUUUUCCUGGAUGUUGAUGGAAUUGGGUCCUCUUCUUCAUCCUCAAACAUUACAUCAUCAUCUACACUGUCCUCACAGAUGCUGUCGCAGUCGCUGUCACAGUCACUGUCGCUGUCUGCGAAUUCAUCCCACCACCUGAAUCUUUUACUCUGUCUCUCUCCUCAUCCUCAUCAUCUUCUUCUUCUUGAGCCCGCAGCCUGGAUCUGCCAGGCAGCGGGUCAUCCUCCUGCUCAGCAUGCUGAUUGCUGUCCUCACCCUCAUCGCCUUCCUCUUGAGGUGGGUCGUCUGCUGGUUCAGCGUGCUGGUUGAUUGCCACAUCGACCUCUGCAGCUGGAACAACCCUGAAGGCUGGAUCAACCUCAGCAUGAGGAUUGGUCCGGUUGUCACCAUUGCCAAAAUGGUGACCUGGAAGAGGCAGUUGUCCUAGUGCUGGAAUAGCACCCUGAGUAUUCUGUGGAAGAUUGGGGGUGCGUGUCCUUGAGGGUUCAUUUUAACAGGUUGGUCGUUCUGUGUUGAGUUUCCUCUUGGGAAAUAUGCUAAUGCUUCUAACUGACGUGUGUACACUUACUUCUGUUUGACAGGGUUCUACUUACAAACUGAGUUCUUGGAUUGUGAUGUCAUCAGUGACUGGCUCCCUGUAAAAUCCAGAAUUGAAUUUAAAAUCCUACUGUUAACCUAUAAAGCUCUAAAUGGUCAAGCUCCGUCAUAUCUUAGAGAGCUCAUAGUGCCUUAUUAUCCCACCAGAACUCUGCGCUCUGAGAACGCAGGGUUACUCGUGGUCCCUAAAGUCUCCAAAAGUAGAUCAGGAGCCAGAGCCUUCAGCUAUCAGGCUCCUCUCCUGUGGAAUCAUCUUCCUGUUACGGUCCGGGAGGCAGACACCGUCUUCACAUUUAAGACUAGACUUAAGACUUUCCUCUUUGAUAAAGCUUAUAGUUAGGGCUGGCGCAGGCAUGCCCUGUACCAGCCCCUAGUUAGGCUGACUUAGGCCUAGUCUGCCGGAGGACCCCCCUAUAAUACACCGGGCACCUUCUCUCCUUCUCUCUCUCUCUCUCUCUCUCUCUCGUGUCCUAUUACUGCAUCUUGCUAACUCGGCCAUUCUGGAUGUCACUAACUCGGCUUCUUCUCCGGAGCCUUUGUGCUCCACUGUCUCUCAGAUUAACUCAUAUCGCAGCGGUGCCUGGACAGCGUGACGUGUGUGGUUGUGCUGCUGCCGUGGUCCUGCCAGAUGCCUCCUGCUGCUGCUGCCAUCAUUAGUCAUUAGUCAUACUUCUACUGUUAUUAUACACAUAUGACUAUUGUCACACUUGUAUACUGCCAGAUAUUAAUACAUACUUUCAACAUAUUGUACCACAGUAGCCAGAACUAUAACUAUAAUAUUAUUACUUUCAAUAAUGUUGUUGUAAGCUACUGUCAUUACCUGCAUCUCUGUCUCUCUCUCUCUCUCUCUCUCUCUCUCUCUCUCUCUCUCUUUCUCUGUCUCAUUGUGUCAUGUGGAUUACUGUUAAUUUGUUAUGCUGAUCUGUUCUGUACGACAUCUAUUGCACGUCUGUCCGUCCUGGAAGAGGGAUCCCUCCUCAGUUGCUCUUCCUGAGGUUUCUACCGUUUUUUCCCCCGUUAAAGGGGUUUCUUUGGGGAGUUUUUCCUUAUCUGCUGUGAGGGUCAUAAGGACAGAGGGAUGUCGUAUGCUGUAAAGCCCUGUGAGGCAAAUUGUGAUUUGUGAUAUUGGGCUUUAUAAAUAAAAUUGAAUUGAAAUUGAAUUGAACUGAAUUGAAUUGAAUUGAAUCGUCAGUGUCAGUGAUCAGUCAGUUCCAUUGUGAUGUUCGCUUGAGCAUAUAGCUGCCGACGCUGCCUAUAGACAUCCUUGUCAUCAGACAGGUCAUUUGCGAUUAUAUGGCCCAAAUAUGUAAUCUCACUGCACACACUGAGUGCAGUGCCAGACAGAUAGAAGUCAGGGAAGGUUGACUGUCUGUCUUCUCUACUUCUGACAAUCAUGAUCUUAUUCUUUUUAGCGUUGUAUUUUAUAUCAAAAUCAGCACCAUACUGUGUGCAUAUUCUCAGAAGCUGUUGGAGACCAGCAUUAUAUGGGCUAAAGAUGACCAAAUCAUCUGCAUACGUAAGGUGAUUAAUUAGUGAGUCACCAACCCUACAACCUGUACCACAUGCAUUUAAAAUUAAAAGACAAAUCAUUCAUAUUGUUGACCAAUAAAAUGAUACCUGCCUCCUUGUGGGCGUGCUUGCUUUAGUUUUAGAGCGUCCCGUCUGGGCUGGUACUCUUAAACAGGUUUCAUCCACUC